GAUGAACGCUGGCGGCGUGCCUAAUACAUGCAAGUCGAGCGAACAGACGAGGAGCUUGCUCCUCUGACGUUAGCGGAGGACGGGUGAGUAACACGUGGAUAACCCACCUAUAAGACUGGGAUAACUUCGGGAAACCGGAGCUAAUACCGGAUAAUAUAUUGAACCGCAUGGUUCGAUAGUGAAAGUCGGUUUUGCUGGCACUUCUAGAUGGAUCUGCGCCGCAUUAGCUAGUUGGUAAGGUAACGGCUUACCAAGGCGACGAUGCGUAGCCGACCUGUGAGAGUGAUCGGCCACACUGGAACUGAGACACGGUCCAGGCUCCUGCGGGAGGCAGCAGUAGGGAAUCUUCCGCAAUGGGCGAAAGCCUGACGGAGCAACGCCGCGUGAGUGAUGAAGGUCUUCGGAUCGUGAAACUCUGUUAUUAGUGAAGAACAAAUGUGUAAGUAACUAUGCACGUCUUGACGGUACCUAGUCAGAAAGCCACGGCUAACUACGUG
rnacentral:rRNA from 1 species